rnacentral:rRNA from 1 species
AACGAACGCUGGCGGCAUGCCUAACACAUGCAAGUCGAACGAGACCUUCGGGUCUAGUGGCGCACGGGUGCGUAACGCGUGGGAACCUGCCCUUAGGUUCGGAAUAACUCCCCGAAAGGGGUGCUAAUACCGGAUAAUGUCUUCGGACCAAAGAUUUAUCGCCUUUGGAUGGGCCCGCGUUGGAUUAGCUAGUUGGUAGGGUAAAAGCCUACCAAGGCGACGAUCCAUAGCUGGUCUGAGAGGAUGAUCAGCCACACUGGGACUGAGACACGGCCCAGACUCCUACGGGAGGCAGCAGUGGGGAAUAUUGGACAAUGGGCGAAAGCCUGAUCAAGCAAUGCCGCGUGAGUGAUGAAGGCCUGAGGGUUGUAAAGCUCUUUUACCCGGGAUGAUAAUGACAGUACCGGGAGAAUAAGCUCCGGCUAACUCCGUG